AUGCUUCAACUCUCCAGAGAACAAACGUGGUGGGCAGAUAACAACGGGUCUGGGUUUGAAGGUGGCCUCAUGGCCUCCCGUGUCUCCAUGAAGCUCCUCAACUUCAGGUUCCUCUCUUGUGAGACAAGCUGUAAGGCUAGUAACUGCCGGAGGUGGAGAUUUCUUCUUGUUCUUCCUUCCCUUUCCUCCCUCUCUUUGACCAUUUCCAGUCUAGGUGCCCAAUGGGUCUGGAGUAAGACAGCAAGAAAGGCCAAGGCUUUGGUGGACAACAGCACAAUCCUGAAGCUUUGCCCUGAGGUCCCCCUAAAGCCCCCUGAACGCUCAACCAAGAGAACCCCAGGGGUGGACCUUUCUUCUUCAGAAUGGAAGUGCGUCUGUCUACUCUUCAAACGCUCUUCUCAUACAGGAAAUUCUACUCGUUAAAGACUUGUCCAUGAGGAUUCUUGAAGUGGAAAUGUUUUUGGACAAAUGGUGGUAUCAUCUAUUCAGAUAAGAAUGAAUGCAAUUUAAUUGAUUGUCUUUGAACUUUUAACCGACAUGAGCCACGUUUAGGAAAUGGGGACUUUGAUGUUAGGACGAGCCAGUGGAGGGCAGAGAUGAGGCAUGGUGGGGAGAGAAGAAGGUGUGUAGGAGAAGGGAGGUCUGUGUGGGUGUUUUGGCGUACUUGGCAUGGGGAGGGAUGCCUAACAAGCUUCCAGACUACACUAGGGUUCGGUGGUUGCUGUAGCACGUGACCGCAAACUUGGUGACUUCAAACAGUAGACAUGAAUUUGUUCACAGCUCUGGAAGCCAGAAGUCCAAGAUCAGGGUGUCAUCGGGGCCAUGUUCCUCCUUAAGGCUCUAGGGAAGAAUCCUUCCUGGCUCCUUCUAGCUUCUGAGGGCCCCUGGCUUGUGGCUACGCCGUUCCCAUGUCCACCUCCCUGUUCACAUGGCCUCCUUCCCCGUGGGUGUCUCUGUGUCCUCUCUUCUGGUAAGAAACCAGUCAUGGCAUUUAGGUUCCACUCUAAGCCCAGGAUGGUUUUAUCUCAAGAUUCUUAACGAAUCCCAUCUGCAAAGACCCUAUUUCCAAACGAGGGCACAUUCUGAGGUUCUGGUUGGCCGUGGAUUGGCUGUGGGACACUAUUCAGCCGCCACACAGGUGUUGCAAGAGUGGGGGUGGGGGCACCUCGGUGGUGCUGGAAAGGAGAUGGAAUGAGCAGCAAAGUUAAGUCUUUUUUCUAGAACUGACCCUUCCUCUCUUCUCUUGUCAGGUGAGACUCGGCCUCUUCUUGCAGAAAAUCUGGCCUGAGGGGGCAGAAGGUGCCUCUGCAGAUGCCACCCUACGGUGUGGAGCUCUCUCCCGCCCCUCCGACCUGCUGUCCAGCUGGAGACAGCUUGCCCCUUCUCCCCUGCCUGUUGGCUCCUCCCUACAGAGGGACCCAAUUCUACCGGAGACAGCAUCACAGGGAUGGGGUUUACAGGGUCUCAAAUGCAAUAGACUGGUGUUUGAGAGUUUUGUCCAGAAAAGAAACGACUAGUGGCCUUCACUCCUGCCAAUGUCAGUCUCCACUUGCCUAAGUGCUUUUGUUAGUUAUUAACACGACUCGAACCUGAUUAGAUCCCCGCAACCUCUCCACUGAGCACUAUUUAAAAACGCCAUCUCUACAGACAAGGGCUCCGUCUCCCAGCUUCCUCGACCCAGCGUCUUUUUAGGCAGUGUGCAAGCCCAAGGGUGAAGUGUUGGAUUCUUAUUAGCAUUUUCCAACAGCCAAGCGGGUGUUCCUAUGCAGAUGGGCCGAAUGCUUUCCUUUUAUGUAAAUGUCUGAUGCACUACAGAGCUGUCCUCUGAUUCCUUGCAUCCUGCUCAGAUCUCACCGGGCCCUUUUAAGGUAGCAACCAUUUGGCAGCUCUAAUCAAAGAAGCUGGCCUCUUUCUAUCAAGAAGUUAAAAUUCUGACAUAGCCCUAAAAUUUCUCGAGACAAAAAGUUCAUCUAUUUUCAGUUUGAUGGUACGUUAGUCGUGUGUUGUUUUUCUUUCUUUCUUUCUUUUUUUUCCUUGCCUAUGAUAAAAGAUCCAUUCAAACUAGCUGAAAGCACAAAAAGGGAUUUAAUAGGAUCCUGGGGUUUCUUACAUAAUCAGAGGAAACCAAUAGCCAGACGGGGAAAGGGGGUUCGACUCCAGGAAGGAGCAGGAGAGCCUUGAGCCACCACAAGGAUUCGUGCUGGGUCUCUGCUUCUGUCUCCUGGUCGACCUCAUAAUCCCCACACGAGGGCCCACAUCUGACAUCCUGCUGAGGUCCCAGCCGGAGCAGGACUGACUCACCCUCGUGGUCUCACAGUUAAAUAAAAUGCCAAGGCAGGGCUGGGACUGGACCAGCCUGGGCAAGACCAUCACUCCCGGAUCCAAGGGCCACAGGUGUCUGGAAAGCCCCUUCCUCUGGACAGUUCAUGAACCCAUACUGAGGUCAUCGAAGCUAAGUCACCUCUUCUUUUAGGUAAUGCAAUUCACGAUGGCCUUGCUGUGCACGUGUCUCUUGUUGAAGAAAUGAUGCUUGGAAUCCUAUGUUGUUGAUUUCCUUUGACGGAACCUUUCUGGAACAGGUGAAAACAUCUAUUCUGGCAAAAAAUUCGGCUAUGCCAAGUUUAUUAAAAUGGGUCAGAUAUUGUUUAAAACUCUGUGUUAAGUGCUAUGGUGUGAAGAGUAUUUAGUGCUGUGGAUAUUAGGUUUAACAAACACCGUGAUCUUGUGUCUAGUGAGAAAAACUCUUCUCCAUUUCAUUUGUUGAGGAACUAAAGCUGAGACCUAAAAGGGGCAGUUGAGGGAUGCCUGGGUGGCUCAGUCGGUUAAGCGUCUGCCUUCGGCUCAGGUCAUGAUCCCAGGGUCCUGGGAUCAAGUCCUGCAUCAGGUUCACUGCUUAAUGAUAAGCCUGCUUCUCCCUCUCUCCCUCCCCCCACUCAUGCUCUCUCUCUCUCUGUCUCUCUCUCUCAAAUAAAUACAUAAAAUCUUAAAAAAAAAAAUUAAAAGGGCAGUUGAUAAAAGCAGCUCUGGGCUAUGUCCCCAUAUUUAAAAAAAUAAGAGCAUCAGCAGUAGGUGUCACCUUCCUUUAAAAAGACAGGUCUUGGCUGCAACAGAAAAACAGCCCAGAUUCUUCCCCUAGGCUCAGCUUCGUUGCACUGAACCAUCAUGGAAUGAAGCAAAAUUCUUCCCUUAUCCUGUGCAUUGCACAUUCCUGGUUUCUCGGAGUACCUAGCAAAUUCCUCCGGGAAUAUUCCUUCACCCCCUUUGAAGGAAAAGGACGAAGGCCAGAAGACUAAGCAGAAAGCCCGUCUCUUGCUGGGAUACAGCGCAGAGCGCGAGACUUGGGGCAACAGUCUUGGCCCCAGAUCUAGACGAAGUGGAAUAGAAUACUAGACACUUCAAAAUUUUGAUUUUCUCAGCUCAUCGCAGAGUUGAGGUAAUUCUACGCAGUGCUGGUUUGAGUAUUCAAGGCACGGGAUUACUUGGCAAGACUUCUGUUUGGUCCCAAGGGUACCCUGAUCUCACCCCCUUUUCUGGGCAGUCCCUGUCUCUCCCCCGGUCCCCUGCGUGCCCCCAGCACAAGGCGGGGAGACGGCCCUUGAGGAAGAGCCGCACUCGUGUCAGCCUUACUGCUAGUGGCAUCACUUAAACUAAGUUUCUCUCUCCUGUUUUCCCAUGAGCACAAGGUCAUUUCCUGUUGGCUGGCCUGACACGGGGAGACACGGCCUCGCACACCACCUGAUACGGAGUGUCCUCGGUCCUAUGUGUCCCUAAGUGUCCAGACGCCCCAUCGGUGGUUCCUCCACCCAUACUUCCCUGUGCGCUCAUUCCAAGGACCCCUUGUUCUUUGGAGGAUGUGUCUUAGAAAGAGGCAGCAGUGUUUGUGUCAAAGCACCAGCGGCAGACUGAGGGACACUUUUUGAAACAAGGGUGUUGGCUAAUCCUCUCCCACGGCUGGCCCGGUCCCUGGAGGGUGGCGGAACAGAGAGUCAAGAGUCGAUCAGAAAUAGCGCCCUGUAAGCCCUCAGGCACCAAGAUCCUCAUCCAAGAAACUGCUCUGAGUGUCAAGUGCGUCACGUCUGCCAAGGCAGGACCGAGGACAGCCAGGCCUGCGGCCACAGCCAGCGGAAGGCUGAUAUAUUACCGUUGUCUUCUGGGCUCGGUAAUAUCCGGUUUUCCAGGGGUAACACUUCGCCCGGUGCUAGAAGGGAGCGAAACAUGCUUUUGGCCUUCUCUGGCUCGGGAUAGGGAGCUUAGUUUUGCAGCAGAAGAGCCCAGACUCAUUCCGAUGGUCCAUCUCUGUCAACACAAAUGUCAGAAAGAGAAGCCCGUGAGGCAGCACCUGUGGAAAAAUGAGGACGAACGUGGGAUACAGUUUGGCAUUUGGGCCUCCUGGGCACUCCGGAAUCCCGCCCUUUCCAGAAGAGCUGACAGGAAUGGCCGUGGCCGGCUGCCCCCGGAAACUCUGAUAACUUCCCGAGUUGUUGCACAACCGCUGAGUGGAGCUCCCGCCGGGACUGUCUUCUGCUGGAUACCGUGUCUUAUUCUAGCUGCGGACUCAACCGCCGGCCCACGGCCAAGGACAGUCCUAUUUCUAUUUCGGGAACGCUUGCCAUUUAAUUCUGUCUCAGAUAACAUUCCGAUGCUUUACCCCGUAAAAAUAAAUCCAAUUCUUUGAAGUCUGGUGUGUGUUUGGGUCUUCAUAUAGAGACAAUGGGGACCAUACGUCAUUAUUGGCUUUAAUAGAAAAACCGGGGACUAAAUGUCUGUAAGUUGAAGCCUGUAACACCGUUUUAAAGCCUAUAACUGUCUUGAUCGUGGGGGGAGGCCGGUAGGGGGGCGGAAUGCUCCAGAACUCAAUAAAAUAACAAGGUAGAUUAAAAAAAACUCUAAACAACACUUGGACUGGUAAUUAUUAUUAUUUUUUAAAG
rnacentral:lncRNA from 1 species